rnacentral:lncRNA from 1 species
UCCCUCUCCCCUCCCCCUCCUCCCCAGACAUAGCAAGAAGCAUUUUCUAACAUCUAGGUUGAGAACAAGCCUGAAUGGUACCCAUGGUUGGGAGAGAGAACUCCAGCUUUGAAUUGACUUUACAGACCAGAUCGAGCCCCACCCUUACUUACUUUAGCCUUCUGGGAGCCACCACCAGGCGAGGCCCAGAGCCGGCUGUGGCCGGUGUACUCCUGCCAACCCCUGCCACCAGCCCCAGCCCCAGCCCCUGCCAACUCGGACCCCAGACCACUUGCACCCUGACGGGUGGGGUGGGAGCUGUCCGUUCAGGACCACAAGCCAUCCUCUGCCCUGGCUUUGAGGGCAGAGCACACCCCAAUGCUUCUGCCUCUGUCCCUUCAUCUCUCAGCCCCUCUCCCUUCUCCUCUCCCCUGCGGCACC